rnacentral:autocatalytically_spliced_intron from 1 species
AGAAGCCGGAUGAUGGGUAAACUAUCAAGUCCGGUUUUGAAGUCGAGUGAAGAAGGGCAACCUUCUCACUUAGAUAAC